rnacentral:rRNA from 1 species
AACGAACGCUGGCGGCAUGCCUAACACAUGCAAGUCGAACGAGACCUUCGGGUCUAGUGGCGCACGGGUGCGUAACGCGUGGGAACCUGCCCUUAGGUUCGGAAUAACUCCCCGAAAGGGGUGCUAAUACCGGAUAAUGUCUUCGGACCAAAGAUUUAUCGCCUUUGGAUGGGCCCGCGUUGGAUUAGCUAGUUGGUAGGGUAAAAGCCUACCAAGGCGACGAUCCAUAGCUGGUCUGAGAGGAUGAUCAGACACACUGGGACUGAGACACGGCCCAGACUCCUACGGGAGGCAGCAGUGGGGAAUAUUGGACAAUGGGCGAAAGCCUGAUCCAGCAAUGCCGCGUGAGUGAUGAAGGCCUUAGGGUUGUAAAGCUCUUUUACCCGGGAUGAUAAUGACAGUACCGGGAGAAUAAGCUCCGGCUAACUCCGUG